AUUGAACGCUGGCGGCAUGCCUUACACAUGCAAGUCGAACGGCAGCACGGGGGCAACCCUGGUGGCGAGUGGCGAACGGGUGAGUAACGCAUCGGAAUGUACCCAGUAGUGGGGGGAUAACUAGUCGAAAGAUUAGCUAAUACCGCAUACGCACUGAGGUGGAAAGCGGGGGAUCGCAAGACCUCGCGCUAUUGGAGCAGCCGAUGUCCGAUUAGGUAGUUGGUGGGGUAAAGGCCUACCAAGCCUGCGAUCGGUAACUGGUCUGAGAGGACGACCAGUCACACUGGGACUGAGACACGGCCCAGACUCCUACGGGAGGCAGCAGUGGGGAAUUUUUGGACAAUGGGCGCAAGCCUGAUCCAGCAAUGCCGCGUGUGUGAAGAAGGCCUCGGUUGUAACUGCUUUGUACGGUAACGGAAACGGACGAGCUCUAAUACAGUUUGCUAAUGACGGUACCGUAAGAAUAAGACACCGGCUAACUACGUAG
rnacentral:rRNA from 1 species